rnacentral:rRNA from 1 species
AUUGAACGCUGGCGGCAGGCUUAACACAUGCAAGUCGAACGAGUGGCGGACGGGUGAGUAAUGCUUGGGAAACUGCCUGAUGGAGGGGGAUAACUACUGGAAACGGUAGCUAAUACCGCAUACCAUCAGAUGUGCCCAGAUGGGAUUAGUUAGUUGGUGGGGUAACGGCUCACCAAGGCGACGAUCCCUAGCUGGUCUGAGCGGAUGACCAGCAACACUGGGACUGAGACACGGUCCAGACUCCUACGGGAGGCAGCAGUGGGGAAUAUUGCGCAAUGGGCGCAACCCUGAUGCAGCCAUGCCGCGUGAAUGAAGAAGGCCUUCGGGUUGUAAAGUGCUUUCAGCAGGGAGGCGUUACCCGCAGAAGAAGCACCGGCUAACUCCGUGCCAGCAGCCGCGGUAAUUC